CACAACCAAUUUACUAAAUCAAUAAAAAUUCCCCCAGCCCUGGAGAGGGGGAAUGACCAGACAGAAUGUCAUGAAGCCAAUGGUUCUUAAAUAUAUGUGCUGAAACUCGGCCCAGUCUUUGGAAGCCUCUCUACAACCUCUGACUCCUCCCAUGUUUCUGAAAGAUUCUGGUCCCAGCCCCAGGAAUCGCCGGCUGGCCGGGAAACACUCUCCCCAUCUGCAUUGCAUGUUAUUGUUUGAGCGGUAAUAAAUAGACCCUCUCUUGACACAACUGCAUUUGUCCUACAGCAGUCCAAAUCCUCGCCCAGGGAAGUAAUUUUUCCACAAAAUCUAAAAUCCUUUUUCACUCAGCAAUUUAUGCCCUCUCCUGAUUCACAGGUGUGAUUUUAUUUGCUUAGGCAUUUUUAUGGCUGCCAGGCCUUGACCUUUUUCAAAUGAUAAGGUUUCUAACUGCCCACUUCUCUCCCCAAAUCAUGCCCGAGACCUAAUGUUCCUUGAUAUUACACGCUGUUAUUAUCAUCCCUUAUUGAUUGGCUGUCUGUUGUCAUCCCCAAGCCCAUAAAUCCUCCUUUAUAAAUUAAGCGUAGUCAGUUCCGCCUGCACAGUGGCUAGAAGAAAUAUUAAAAUGCAGGACAGCUCAGAAGAACCUGUCCAUCUGCAAGUGAUUCUUGAUCGUUCAUUGGAAGAAGAAAAUAGCCGAAAAC
rnacentral:lncRNA from 1 species